CCUACGGGAGGCAGCAGUGGGGAAUUUUGGACAAUGGGCGCAAGCCUGAUCCAGCAAUGCCGCGUGAGUGAAGAAGGCCUUCGGGUUGUAAAGCUCUUUUGUCAGGGAAGAAACGGUGAGAGCUAAUAUCUCUUGCUAAUGACGGUACCUGAAGAAUAAGCACCGGCUAACUACGUGCCAGCAGCCGCGGUAAUACGUAGGGUGCAAGCGUUAAUCGGAAUUACUGGGCGUAAAGCGUGCGCAGGCGGUUUUGUAAGUCUGAUGUGAAAUCCCCGGGCUCAACCUGGGAAUUGCAUUGGAGACUGCAAGGCUAGAAUCUGGCAGAGGGGGGUUAGAAUUCCACGUGUAGCAGUGAAAUGCGUAGAUAUGUGGAGGAACACCGAUGGCGAAGGCAGCCCCCUGGGGUCAAGAUUGACGCUCAUGCACGAAAGCGUGGGGAGCAAACAGGAUUAGAUACCCUGGACCUCGAGUCCCCAAAGGCUUAAGCUAUNUUNCGGGUUNUAGUNACUUGGAACUGAGCUAAGCGUAGAGUGACCGCGNGGGACGUACGGUGCGAGAUUAAACGUAAAGUAAGUAAUUGAGUGAGAGACGAGACGAGGCGACGACGAGGGAGAGGG
rnacentral:rRNA from 1 species